GGCGGUGAUCCUGUGAAAGAGCAAUUUGAUGAUGAAAGAACUCAGUGGGGAAACCCCCACUCAGCUCCCGAUUCGGCGUGCACCCAAGAAUCACGAAUAGAACACAACACCUUGAUGUAACAACAAGAGGUAUUUUAAUGGCGGAGCUCCGGGUUGAAACGUAUCUCACACAGGAGACAGUGGAUUCGACCACGAGGCUUGGAAGCUAGGGAUUUUUAUAGAAAAGGAGUGGGGCUGGGGGAGGAAUUGGCGCGGUUUCACAUGAUUGGUCCAUUUAAACAUCAGCAGCCUGUAACAUUUAACUUAGGUCAGAGGGGUGGGAGAUAGGGAGGCGAUGGGCCUGCCCGGGCAUGUCCUGGUCUGUUCUGCUAUGUUCUCAGCCCCAGGUUUCAAAGCUCACAAACAACUCUUUGGGCUAUUUGACAUACAUUACAUGAAUUACAGUUUUAUUUCCUUUCAAUGACUAAAUAGGUAAUCAAAUUAUAGCUUGAAUAUCACUGGUAUAUAAUCAUACCUAGUAUAACUAUAUGGAUAGUUAUAAUAUCUCAGAUAGAAUGUACUAAACAAGAAUAUAGAAAAUAAAAAUAUGCAAAUAUACAGGAAUUCUUUGGCAUGUAGUAGCAUGAUUUAAUGGGUUUAACUUCACGUUGGUAUGAGAGCCAUGCAUAUUCAGUAGAAAUCGUAUUUCAAAUUCUGAUUUUGGAGAAGACUAGUAAUAUUUGCUAUGGUUGUGACACCAGAUAUUUCCUGCUUUCUGUCAAGUAGGUAAUCAUAUGCGUACCUUAUAUUAAUGACUUUAUGUCAUAGUCUUAGAACUAUUGGCUGAUGUUAGUCUUCUAAACUUUUAGAUAAAGGAAAUACAUUUUUGACUUGAAAUAUUUUCAUCUUAUUUAGGGAUUGCACAAAUGUAGCCUGAUAGUAAUUCAAGAAGCAUCUGCAUUAGCUGUUAGAAAUUGUAGCUACAUUUUGUAAUGGCUGAAUGAAGGCAUGGAGGCAGCAAAGUUGGAGCUCACAUCUCGAACUACAAACAGAACAAUGAGAUUGAAUUUGAAAUGGCUUGAGUCUCUAAACUCUAAAAACCUUUGUCCAGAUACAUACCUCCUUCAGCAAGGCCACACUUCUUAGGCCGCCCCAAACCAUGCUACUAAUCAUGGACUAAUUAUGUAAAUGUCGUAGACUAUGGGGGGGCAUAUCAUUAAAACUACC
rnacentral:lncRNA from 1 species